AAAAACAUAACCUUUAGCCAAACAAAUAUUAAAGGCAACGCCUGCCCAGUGAACAAUUAAACGGCCGCGGUACCCUAACCGUGCAAAGGUAGCAUAAUCAUUUGUCUACUAAUUAUAGACCUGUAUGAAAGGCAAAAUGAGGGUCUAACUGUCUCUUAUAAUAAAUCAAUUAAACUGAUCUCCUAGUAAAAAAGCUAGAAUAAUAUCAUAAGACCAGAAGACCCUGUGAAGCUUAAAUCAAACUACUAAAUCACAUAGUAAUUACUUUCGGUUGGGGCGACCUUGGAAAAAAAUAGAACUUCCAAGACCCAGUACAACUGACAAUUGAACCAAGUUACUCCAGGGAUAACAGCGCAAUCUUCUUCAAGAGCCCAUAUCAAAAAGAAGGUUUACGACCUCGAUGUUGGAUCAGGACAUCCUAAUGGUGCAGCCGCUAUUAAGGGUUCGUUUGUUCAACGAUUAACAGUCCUACGUGAUCUGA
rnacentral:rRNA from 1 species